GGGGGGGGGGGGGGGGGGGGGGGGGGGGAGUGGGGGGGAGGAUGCCUGGGUGGCUCAGUCAGUUAAGUGUCUGACUUCAGUUUAGGUCGUGAUCUCACAGUUCGCCAGUUUGAGCCCCGCGUCGGGCUCUGUGCUGACAGCUCAGAGCCUGGAGCCUGCUUCAGAUUGUGUCUCCCUCUCUCUGCCUGUCCCCUGCUCAUGCUCUGUCUCUCUCAAAAAUAAAUAAACAUUAACAAAAUUAAAAAAAAAAGAAGUCUGAUAAACUAAUAUAAGUGAUAUCUAAUUAUUCCUUAAUAUUGAGUAAAAAAAAAAAAAAGAGACUUCACUGUGGAAACCCUUCAGAUAGGUGCCUCAGAGUUCAGAACCUCUUGCAACUUUGUAAGAAGAAUGUGCUUAUCAUUUCUGGGGUUUAUGGGAGAAGGAAAACUGCCAUGAUAUUUAGGCAAAACUUUCCCUAAAACACCAGGGUAUAGUAAAAUCACAGUACAGAGCAUGUGGUUGGGAAAUACUGAACAACAUAAGUUUAUGUUGCUUGAAAAUGUUCCUUAUGACAGAUUGCAACGUCUACCAAAACAAUGAUGUAAGCUGUGGAACUAGUUUUGCGUGGCCUGAAGUUGAAGCUUUUUAUAUUUCACCAUUUCAUUACUUCACAACUUCAUGCAUCGGAAUUGCAGGCUGAUUCAGAUCCUGGGAAGGAAUUUAAAUUCCUGGACUGACUGUGAACUCUGGGCAGGUGGCAACCAUAGGGCUCCACUAAUUUGGCCUUGGCCAACUUCAGCCCAAGAGCCUAGGAAUCGGGUGCAGACUUUAGAGUUGCACAGAAUGAUUACCUGGACUUUUGCUGGCUCCUGUGAAGGCCUGAGAUUGUUGUAUGUGAAGCUUUACCUCUUGUUAGCAGGGUGUUUCGCUUUAAGGAUCAGGAGUUUAAAAAUAAUUUUUUCAUUGAUAGUUUUAGAAACAAUGCAAGAGGAAGACGUAUAUAAUUAUCACACACAAACACACACACACACACACACACACUGUAGUCUUGUAUAUGCAGGACAAUCUUUAGAAGGAUACGUAAGAAAAUAUGAGGCUAUUUAUUUCUUAGGGAUUGAGCUGGGAUGUCAAAAGUGAAGGAGAUUUUAUUUAUUACUUUAUUCUUUUGGGGAAAUAGGGUAUAUUUUGCAUUGAGAAUGCCUUCGUUUUAUAAAAGAAAAAUUUCCUUUUGAAACCCAGCUUUCUUUUAACAACACCAUUGUUUCUUUUCAUGCCUUUCUCCCCAUAACAGAGAAUUUUCCUGAUUUUGUCAGAAGAUGUGGUUAACUUUAAGGAGCUUUUCUUAUUGGAUCAAGUUAGUUUCUUUCCUUUUCCCCUCCAACCUUUCAUCCAUCCUCAGAUAUUUAGUGCUUAGUAUCUCUUACUGCUUCUUACAGGCUAAGUAAAAGUAACUCUUUGGGAAAAGAAGAGAUCAGCAACAUUCGUGAGGUUGCUGUCCCUCUGAUGGGACUUCAGAAACGUGAGACUUUGAGAAGAUGGAGUGAUUUUGCAGAGGAUGCUAGGACAAUGAUUCAGGGUAGCCGAGGUUCUGUGUGCCUAGAUAUUCCCUCACACAGAAGGAAAAGAAACCACUAGUGCUUCUCAAUUAAUGAGAGGCUUGGAAAGUGCCGGAAGGACAUCUGGAAGAAUAGUGAUGGAAAAACCUCUGCAUAAAGAGUUGCUCUUAAUAAAACAUUAAAAAAAAAAAGAAGUAGGGGUGCC
rnacentral:lncRNA from 1 species